CCUACGGGAGGCUGCAGUGGGGAAUAUUGCACAAUGGGGGAAACCCUGAUGCAGCGACGCCGCGUGAGUGAAGAAGUAUUUCGGUACGUAAAGCUCUAUCAGCAGGGAAGAAAAAAAGUCCUUUGGACUUUGGACGGUACCUGACUAAGAAGCCCCGGCUAACUACGUGCCAGCAGCCGCGGUAAUACGUAGGGGGCAAGCGUUAUCCGGAUUUACUGGGUGUAAAGGGAGCGUAGACGGCAGCGCAAGUUUGGAGUGAAAUGCCGGGGCCCAACCCCGGAACUGCUUUGGAAACUGUGCAGCUGGAGUGCAGGAGAGGUAAGCGGAAUUCCUAGUGUAGCGGUGAAAUGCGUAGAUAUCACGCAGAACCCCGAUUGCGAAGGCAGCAUACCGGUGCACAACUGACGCUCAGGCACGAAAGCGUGGGUAUCGAACAGGAUUAGAUACCCGAGUAGUC
rnacentral:rRNA from 1 species